ACGCUCGACACCUACGGAGGCAGCAGUGGGGAAUAUUGCACAAUGGGGGAAACCCUGAUGCAGCGACGCCGCGUGAGUGAAGAAGUAUUUCGGUAUGUAAAGCUCUAUCAGCAGGGAAGAAGAUGACGGUACCUGAGUAAGAAGCCCCGGCUAACUACGUGCCGGCAGCCGCGGUAAUCUGAGCGGGCUGGCAAGGC
rnacentral:rRNA from 1 species